rnacentral:lncRNA from 1 species
CAGAGGCCUCUUUCACAGGCUGACUAAUCCAUAUUUUUUUCCCCCACAACUCGGCUUCUAUGAAGAGCCACUCAAAAGACUCUCAGAACAGCAUCAGGAGAAAACAUUUCAUAAGGUUUAAAAAACAACAGAUAAUAGUGUGCAUUAGAUGCUCAGUAAAGAAAGGCCCCUGACUUCUCAGAAUUGAAUUCUGCUGUACUAAUCAGUUUCUUUCUCACUUUCCAUGCUGAUCCCAACUGGGUGCACCUGCCUUCACCCAGCCAGGGCCCCAGGGAUUAUGAAAAUAAUAGAGCGUUGAGCCAAGACUGUUGGACAACAGUGAGAGAACAUGCUUUGCGGACUGGAGUCUGGGAUGUUCUCACAGAGAUUUAAAAUGGGUUUUGAAGGAUGAGAGGGAAAGGCAGACGCCAGGAGGAGAGAAUACCAUCCACAGUGGCACAGAUGACUGAAAGAACGUCACGUAAAAAAGAUAGGACUGUGGUUAGUCGGGACUUCUCUUAAGUCAGGAAAAUAAAAUAUUGAAAUUUAAUCUACUUUUUUAGAAAUAAAAAAGACCAAACUUCAGUGAUCUCUAAAAGGCCCAUAGGUUGAACUCUUCAUUUCUCUAAAAUCCUUAAAUGAGUGGUUCCUACAUGUAUUAAUCUGAACUUCUACAACUGUCCUAUGUUCCAGACACGUAGUUGAAUUCUCUGGAAUCUGUUAUUUUCCUGGCAUACCUUAUUCAAAUCCUUUCCCGUUUUUUAUUGGCUUCCAAGUGUUACCCUCCUCUUUUCUUGCUUACCAUUUAGAAUCUUGUCAAAUGAUUUUCCACAUCUUCCCAGACUAUGACGAGGUUGACUAAGAAUUUGUUUUGGCAUAGCUUUUUUUCAGUUUCUCUUUAUUAGCUGAAAUGGAAUCUUCUACCUAAAAUGACAUAUGGCAAGACCUAGAGGAAAAAAUGAUAAUAAAACAAUCUCAGCCUAAUGAGAGAGCCAACCACUGAACGUUCUUCCAUAAAGAAAUAUCCAGAGGGGAAGACAAAUGUUUCAGCAAUAUUUCGCAUUGAACAAGUUGCACAGUUCUUUAUUACUGCAUUAUCAGAUGUAUAUUCCUAUAUGCUCCCAUCCUCAGUGGAUAAAAGCAAACUUUUCCCUUUCUUAAAAUUGAGAGUGUUAAAGGUUAUUCCUGUUAUGUGUGAACAAAGGAGGAACCAACAUUGAUUAGCAUACACCGUAAGCUAGGCUCUGUGGUAGGUGAGUCUGAAUGGUAUCUUGUUUAAUCAGCUAUCCAUGUACCUAGAUAGGGAGAUGGUCUUACAAUUUCAGCAUAGUUAUAAACUUCAGAGUUCAUAUAACCACUGCCCUGAUUCUUUAGAGGCUAGUUUAGAGGACGUUAGUAGGGUAGAUUUGUGGUUCAUUAACAGCCAUGAGGGGCUAGAGCCCAGGUCCCUGAUUCUCCGUCCAAUGCUUUUUCUGCAGCAGGCUGAGAUUUGCAGGACAUUUACCUUCUCAUCCCUUUUCUCUUCCUUCUCCCUUCUCUCCCUUUUUCUUUCUUUCUUUCUUUCUUUCUUUCUUUUUUUCUUUCUUUCUUUCUUUCUUUCUUUCUUUCUUUCUUAACAGUGCAGUUAUCUCUGUUCUUUGAGAAUGGGAUGUUUGAAGUCAUCCUUCAACAGGGAUGAAGGAAAUUAAUUCAACAUUUAUCGAAGGAUUAUUUUCUGCUCUCUAGACACCAUGUUAUACAUUUGGUUGGAUACAGUAGAUAAGCUGUACGGAGAUAACUAAAAUACAAAGCAGCGUACAUAAGUGCUUGGUAAACAGGUUUUACAGGUUGUCAGAGGUGGAUGUGAGGAAGCUGGCCCGGGACUUGGGCUUUUAAGGAAUGAGAGAGAUUUUCAAAAGGAAAUAAGGACUGAAGGUAGGAAAAGAAUUCAGGUAAUGUGAAGAGUAAUAACAAGCAUACAGAGGAAGGAACCUAUUGAGGGGGGUGUCGAGUAGAAUCACAUGACUAACAAAGAGUUUGUAUUAGAGGAGAAAAUGGAAGACUGGACUGGGAAACAGGCUGUGAUGUUUACGCAGCCAGGCAAUGAACUCUUCCUAUUAUCUAGACUACAGUAGCUCAAAUACAAAGAGGGUGGAAGCCCCAGUCAGAUGUCGUGGAGGUGUAGACAGGUCACCUAGAAUUUGGCUGGAAAUGGACAAAGUCAACAACCAGGUUAAAUAAGGAUGCUGCUAAGAACUGGGUGGAGUGUCAGGAGCCACAGUUCAAGGAGACUCUUACUAACACUCUCCUUCCUCCAGGGGGAGCUCAAGGUUUCCAUCUUUCAUUCCAAAGUAGAAGGAACUCUGAAGUGAAUCUUUGUUCUAGAUUCGCUAGAAUCUAGGGAAUUUAUAGGAAGAAAUAGGAGAAUUUAUAGCAACAAUGAUUCUGUGGUACAUUCUGUUGGAGAAGUGAAGUCAUUAUAAAUGAAAGUGGGCUGAGAGAAUAUUUUCCCCAUCAGUCAUCUCUGGCGACUCUCAGCUCUGGUCAGCUCUUGUAAUACUCUUAUCUUGUCACCUCUUCCCCGACUCUGAUUAGUGUCUGGGACAUUCUGAAGUCAGAAGGGCAAGCGUCCCUGGGGAGUCCACAUUGUCUAGCCCAGCUGCUGAGCAAGAGACCUAAUAGGAUUUGGGGCCAGCAUGAGCUGGUAAUAAAGAAUGGGCAUUUGCCCCGAGAGUUCUUUGCAUGGUGAGAAGCUUGUGUAGCCACUUGUAUGAUGCAGAGUCCUGGUCAGACAGCUUCCGCCUAAGUGUAUAUGAUCUGGUGUGGUUACUUAGGGGUCUAGGAUUUCAUGGGUGGGAUUCUUGCUGAGAUAGGAUCUUACUCAAAGCUUCAGCUGAUGAUUACAAAUAGGCAGAGGUGGAGAACUAUUUCUGGCAGCAAAAAAGGCUGAAGCUACAAAGACCCUUAGCUGCACAUUCGUGUGGCUUCAUCCCUCAUGGUGGCAGCAGAAUCUGGCUUUGGUCCGAGGUCACUUCUGGGACUGGAACAGUGUCAUCAGCAGGAGCUGGGAAUUUGAAGGAAUGCAAAGCCAAAUGUGAGGCACAUGCCUUCUCUAAAAUAAAAUCUGUCUGGGAGUUCCCUGGUGGUGCAGCAGGUUAAGGAUCCGAGCUGUGGUUCAGGUCACAGCUGUGGUGCAUGUUUGUUCUCUGGCUUUGGAACUUCCACAUUUAAAGACAAAAAAAAGAUAAUUAAAGUCUGUCUGCCUUCUUGAACAGAGCCUGCCUUGUCUUAAUUUAGGAGGAAGGAGCUGGAAAUGCAAGAGCAAUAGCAUGAAUCUAGGACCCUGGAAAACUGUUUAAUCUCCAGGAAUGAAGGAGACCUGUGAAUGACCUAGGGGAGACAGAUGCCAAACUUUAAAAUUCUUCGUUUUGCUGGUUCACAGUGAUAUUUAAGUCCAGAUCUUUGGGAGGGCAGGCAGCCUGCACAGGUGUUGGACUUACCCUAGCCUUUGAGUAUCAGAAUGUCAUAAUUUUAACCUAAUUUUUUCCCUGCAUACAUUCAGAGAACAUUUUUGGUUUUGGUUUUGGUUUUUUACUGCCUUUUAUGUUUCAGUUAUAGGAACCACAUAAUUGUUCUAGCCUGCCAGCUGAUAUUCUAACAUGAAAGCCUAUGGGUUCUAGUCCAAAUAAUCUCUUAUUCUAUCAUUUAUAUGCUUCUAACUUUUCUUAUUUAUUUAGUAAUAUUUUUAUCUCCUUAUAGAACUUAUAAAUGAUUAAUGCAGAAUAUUUGAAAACACAAAAACAGGGAGUUCCUGUCGUGGCGUAGUGGUUGACGAAUCCGACUAGGAACCAUGAGGUUGCGGGUUCGGUCCCUGCCCUUGCUCAGUGGGUUGACGAUCCGGCGUUGCCGUGAGCUGUGGUGUAGGUUGCAGAUGCAGCUCGGAUCCCGCGUUGCUGUGGCUCUGGCGUAGGCCGGUGGCUACAGCUCCGAUUUGACCCCUAGCCUGGGAGCCUCCAUGUGCCGCAGGAGCGGCCAAAGAAAUAGCAAAAAAAAAAAAAAAAAAAAGAAAAAAAA